AAUCCAUAGACCUUGUCUCCAACUAGCCAGACUCCUGGAUUAGGACUACGACACCUCCGCUCGAUUCCAAGCGGAGUAGGAGGGCAGCAGUUGCUGCUUUACAGUGGUGGAGAUUUAUCUGAAGAAGCCUCAGAGGGAUCCUUGCAAAUCUCCGCCACUGUAUUGUCGGCGUCCGACUCACCGGAGCUCUCGUUUCGGUACAUCGCCUUGAACUCGAGCAUCAGCUCCGUGUCCGUUGAGUCACCUUCAUGGGUCAACUCCAGCUCGUUGUCGGGUGCUUCAAUAUCAGAGGCCACAUCUUGCUCGACUGGGUUGUCGACAGGACGCGCCCCGUCCGCUGCAUCCGACUUGUACACCUUUAUGGUGACGAAGCUGAACCCGAAGUUGAGCUCGCCCUUAGCUACCUCUAUCGGGGUCAGCGACUCCUUGUUGAUAACGACUACGGCUUGGUUUGUGGGGCCCUGCGUCGGUUCAACUUUGACAACCUUCCAAUCUGCCGUUGGAACGCUGCAAAAUUUUCAGGAUGCGUUCUAGCUCUUUCAAAGAGGCCGCACCCAAAUUUUUGCCGUCGGUCUACUGGGCACUUCGCUCCAGUCGACUGAGACCAGCUUAGCCCCUGGGUAGACCUCUCUUACUUGCGGUACCGCUUCUUUAUACAGCUGCACGGAGCGUUCGACUUCGCAGGCUAUUACUUUUGUCGUUCCCUGGAACCACCCCAUGUCCUUGCAGACUGGAGGGGGG
rnacentral:lncRNA from 1 species